UCGGACAUGGUGUACGGUAAAGCACCUCCUCCCUUGAUGUCGAAUCGUGGCAGUUGCAUGAGGCCGACCGGGGUUCGACUCCCCGUGUCCGAA